rnacentral:rRNA from 1 species
AGAGUUUGAUCCUGGCUCAGAAUCAACGCUGGCGGCGUGCCUAACACAUGCAAGUCGCACGAGAAAGGGUAGCAAUACCUGAGUAAAGUGGCGCACGGGUGAGUAACACGUGAAUUAUCUACCUCCGAGUGGGGAAUAACUGAGAGAAAUCUUAGCUAACACCGCAUAACACUUACGAGUCAAAGCAGCAAUGCGCUUGGAGAGGAGUUCGCGGCCGAUUAGUUAGUUGGCGGGGUAAUGGCCCACCAAGACGAUGAUCGGUAUCCGGCCUGAGAGGGCGCACGGACACACUGGAACUGAAACACGGUCCAGACUCCUACGGGAGGCAGCAGUGGGGAAUUUUGCGCAAUGGGGGAAACCCUGACGCAGCAACGCCGCGUGGAGGAUGAAAUAUCUUGGUAUGUAAACUCCUUUCGAUGGGGAAGAUUAUGACGGUACCCAUAGAAGAAGCCCCGGCUAACUUCGUGCCAGCAGCCGCGGUAAUACGAGGGGGGCAAGCGUUGUUCGGAUUUAUUGGGCGUAAAGGGUGCGUAGGCGGUUUGGCAAGUCUUGUGUGAAAUCUUCGGGCUCAACCCGAAGUCUGCAUAAGAAACUGCCGGGCUUGAGUAUGGGAGAGGUGAGUGGAAUUUCCGGUGUAGCGGUGAAAUGCGUAGAUAUCG